GUACAAAAACAAAAAACAAAAAAACACCGAGGUGGGGAGCUCUGGCCUAAAUGACACAGCCACAACCUAAGAUCCAAGGGGGUCACUGGGCUCUUAAUUUAUCCAGCACCACAGUGUACACUAAUUGUUUCCUACUGCCUCAAAAUCACCCCAGAUUUUUGUAGGGCCCCAUCUUCUCAGACUCAUGGAAUCAGCCUCUCUGGAAUCUAAAAUAAGCUCCCUAGGUGACUCGGAAGCAUCGUCAGGACUGGGAACUCUACCAAGGCAACAGUGCAGAUAAACAUGACUGCAUUUAGAAACCAGGAAGCUCAGACCUUACAGACUCUAUAUAUGGAAGACACCAAAUGUUCUGAGCUCUACCAGCCUGAUGCUCAAGCAUGGAAAAGACAGCAUUCUCUCUGGCUUCAAAAGGUUCAAAUAUUACUUUGCUUCCCCUUUAAGAUCAUGGGCAAGAGAAAUCUAAGACAGAGCCUGGUUAUUGUACGCCAUACAGGAUGUGAAAGGAGAAGAAAUCUUGUGACCUCAAACUCCCUAAGCCAAAGGGAAAAGUCAAGCUGGGAACUGGGUUAUGCAAACCUGCCUCCCAUUUUGGUUCCCAAAUAAGAUGACUACAAGAUGAAAAACUACACACCUCCCUCAUAUUUGGCCCACGAGGAAAUUCAUUAUGGGCCCCAAGAUCUUUACCCCAGAGCAUUUCUGUUAAAAUUCACCAGGGCAGUGCAAAUUGAUAGCUUAUCUUCACAGGUGCUGGGCCACAUAAGACAGAACUCAAAGUCAUCCCUCUGCCCACCCGACACAAAAGCAGAUCUGAUUGUUUUCCUCUGCCCUAUUGUCUAUGUCAUCUUAUGUGAAAAUGCAGAUUCACUAAGCCAGACAAAGGCAUGAAUGACUAUUUUCCCCCACCUCCCUCUUCCAUGAAAUUUGUGUGUUUCACAAUAUCCCACCCUUCCCUUUUUAAAUUUGACGCUUUCAAAAUAUCUUUGGAGAAAGGCAUAGAUCUGUCUCCUGUGCAUGCAUCCUUCACUUUGGCAAAUAAAUCUCCUAAAAUUAGUGGGACUUAUCUUGUCAUUUUUCUCGCUUGACUUCUGGUAACAAUGGAGGGAUUCUGAGUGAAGGUGGCCCAGGC
rnacentral:lncRNA from 1 species